rnacentral:rRNA from 1 species
AUUGAACGCUGGCGGCAGGCCUAACACAUGCAAGUCGAACGAGUGGCGGACGGGUGUGUAAUGUCUGGGAAACUGCCUGAUGGAGGGGGAUCACUACUGGAAACGGUAGGUAAUACCGCAUACCAUCGGAUGUGCCCAGAUGGGAUUAGCUUGUUGGUGGGGGAACGGCUCACCAAGGCGACGAUCCCUAGCUGGUCUGAGAGGAUGACCAGCCACGCUGGAACUUAGACACUGUCCACACUCCUACGGGAGGCAGCAGUGGGGAAUAUUGCACAAUUGGCACAAGCCUGAUACAGCCAUGCCGCGUGUAUGAAGAAGGCCUUGGGGUUGUAAAGUGCUUUCGGCGGGGAGGCGUUACCCGCAGAAGAAGCACCGGCUAGCUCCGUGCCAGCAGCCGCGGUAAUAC